GAUGAAGAACGUAGCGAAAUGCGAUAAGUAGUGUGAAUUGCAGAAUUCAGUGAAUCAUCGAAUCUUUGAACGCACAUUGCGCCCCUUGGUAUCCCGAGGGGCAUGCCUGUUCGAGCGUCAUUUCACCACUCAAGCCUGGCUUGGUGUUGGGCGACGUCCUCUUUGGGGACGCGCCUCGAAACGCUCGGCGGCGUGGCACCGGCUUUAAGCGUAGCAGAAUCUUUCGCUUUGGAAGUCGGGGCCCCGUCUGCCGGAAGACCUGCUCGCAAGGUUGACCUCGGAUCAGGCAGGGAUACCCGCUGAACUUAAGCAUAUCAAUAAGCGGGGGA
rnacentral:misc_RNA from 1 species